AGCUAAAUGUAUUAUGUAAUAAUACGGAUUCGAUUUAUUCGUAUAAAGUUCUAGAUAGAAUUAUGAUAAUGACAUUGUCUAUCUAUAAGUCUUGACCAAAUUACGUGCCAGCAGUCGCGGUAAGACGUAAAAGACUAGUGUUAUUCAUCUUUAAUAGGUUUAAAGCGUACCUAGACGGUAAAUAAAGCCUUAACUGGGACUAAUUUAACUAGAGUUAAAUGUAAGGGUGCAUAAACGUACUGUUGAGUGUAGAGAUGAAAUUCUAUUAUACCAGAUAAUUGGCACGGGUUUAGGCGAAAGCAUCGCCUUAUGUAAUAACUGACGUUGUGGGACGAAGGCUUUGUAUCGCGAACAGGAUUAGAUACCCUAGUAGUCUAAGCAGAAAAUGAUGAGUGUCAUAGGUUAAAUAUUAUUUUUUCUAUAAAUGAAAGUGUAAGCAUUCCACCUCAAGAGUAAUUUGGCAACAUUGGAAUUGAAAUCAUUAGACCGUUUUUGAAACCAGUAGUGAAGUAUGUUGUUUAAUUAGCCAGCCCUCUAAGAACCUUACCACAACUUGAAUAUUUUACAAGCGUUGCACGGCUGUCUUUAGCUAAUGUCGUGAGAUUGUGGUUAGUUCCAUUAAAUUAGCGUAAACCCUUACUUUAUUUUAUUUUUAU
rnacentral:rRNA from 1 species